rnacentral:rRNA from 1 species
GAUGAACGCUGGCGGCGUGCCUAAUACAUGCAAGUCGAGCGAACGGACGAGAAGCUUGCUUCUCUGAUGUUAGCGGCGGACGGGUGAGUAACACGUGGAUAACCUACCUAUAAGACUGGGAUAACUUCGGGAAACCGGAGCUAAUACCGGAUAAUAUUUUGAACCGCAUGGUUCAAAAGUGAAAGACGGUCUUGCUGUCACUUAUAGAUGGAUCCGCGCUGCAUUAGCUAGUUGGUAAGGUAACGGCUUACCAAGGCAACGAUGCAUAGCCGACCUGAGAGUGUGAUCGGCCACACUGGAACUGAGACACGGUCCAGACUCCUACGGGAGGCAGCAGUAGGGAAUCUUCCGCAAAGGGCGAAAGCCUGACGGAGCAACGCCGCGUGAGUGAUGAAGGUCUUCGGAUCGUAAAACUCUGUUAUUAGGGAAGAACAUAUGUGUAAGUAACUGUGCACAUCUUGACGGUACCUAAUCAGAAAGCCACGGCUAAGUACGUG